GAGGAAAGAGGGAGGAGUGAAUAAUACAUGCUAGUCGAGCGAACGGACGAGAAGCUUGCUUCUCUGAUGUUAGCGGCGGACGGGUGAGUAACACGUGGAUAACCUACCUAUAAGACUUGGAUAACUUCGGGAAACCGGAGCUAAUACCGGAUAAUAUUUUGAACCGCAUGGUUCAAAAGUGAAAGACGGUCUUGCUGUCACUUAUAGAUGGAUCCGCGCUGCAUUAGCUAGUUGGUAAGGUAACGGCUUACCAAGGCAACGAUGCAUAGCCGACCUGAGAGGGUGAUCGGCCACACUGGAACUGAGACACGGUCCAGACUCCUACGGGAGGCAGCAGUAGGGAAUCUUCCGCAAUGGGCGAAAGCCUGACGGAGCAACGCAGCGUGAGUGAUGAAGGUCUUCGGAUCGUAAAACUCUGUUAUUAGGGAAGAACAUAUGUGUAAGUAACUGUGCACAUCUUGACGGUACCUAAUCAGAAAGCCACGGCUAACUACGUG
rnacentral:rRNA from 1 species